CGGAGGAUCCGAGCGUUAUCCGGAUUUAUUGGGUUUAAAGGGUGCGUAGGCGGCCUGUUAAGUCAGGGGUGAAAGACGGUAGCUCAACUAUCGCAGUGCCCUUGAUACUGAUGGGCUUGAAUGUACUAGAGGUAGGCGGAAUGUGACAAGUAGCGGUGAAAUGCAUAGAUAUGUCACAGAACACCAAUUGCGAAGGCAGCUUACUAUGGUAUUAUUGACGCUGAGGCACGAAAGCGUGGGGAUCAAACAGGAUUAGAUACCCUGGUAGUCCGCGCCCUAAACGAUGAAUACUCGAUGUUAGCGAUAUACAGUUAGCGUCAAAGCGAAAGCGUUAAGUAUUCCACCUGGGGAGUACGCCCGCAAGGGUG
rnacentral:rRNA from 1 species